GCCCCGGUGUAACGGUAACACGCGCAAUCUCAUAGGCCUUCACGUACGUCUAAAAGUGCGGUUGGCGGUUCGACUCCGCCCUGGGGCA